rnacentral:sRNA from 1 species
AAAAAAAAACUAAAAUAGAAGCUGAUGCAAAAAGAAA